UUGGAAGAAAAAAAAGCGCCCAUUGGCGUAGAGAAAUGGGUGAAAAAACAAAGCAGCCGCGUUUGACGCAGUAGUUUUCCUCCGCCGUCGCAAAUUCGCAGUUGAAUCCGAAGAAAAUGGUGUUGGUUGGGGCGGCGAUGGGGCUGAUGAGCGGCACGCUCGUCUACUACCACUGCGCCUACCGCCAAUCCAGCGUCGUCUCGCUCAUGGCCGACGUCCUCAUCGUGCUCCUCUGCUCUCUCGCCAUCCUCGGCCUCCUCUUCCGCCACAUGAACAUCGCCGUCCCCGUCGAUCCCCUCCACUGGCAGAUCUCCCAGGACGCCGCCUCCUCUCUCUUCGCCUGCCUCGCCAACACUCUCGGCGCCGCCGAGUCCGUCCUCCGCGUCGCCGCCACCGGCCACGACAAACGCCUCUUCCUCAAGGUGGUUUUCUGCCUUUAUUUGCUCUCUAUAGUCGGAAGAGCUUUCUCCGGCGUCGCUGUGGCUUACAUCGGAUUGUGCUUGUACUGUGUCUACGCUAUUCUUGAAAACUCUCAGACCAACAGUGCAUAUUUGGGACGGCUUGCGGGUAGAAGAGAUGGCGUUCAAGAUAACUAAUGAUUCCAAUGCUUGUGCAGUUUGCAUUUUCUGUUAAUACAUCAAGUAGUCUUUAUUCGAGCAAAUAAUGCCUUCGUGAUGGGGAAAAUUCCCAUUUAUGUAUUAGGUUUACUUAAUACUUACAUGUAUUGUCUUGCUCUUGUAUUCUCACGAGCAUUUAUUGUUCGUAUGUUCAGAUGCUUAGCACUAUCCAGUUCUAGGAACAUCCAAUUCAAUUAGAAUAGAGUGACCUUCAGCUCUGAUCCUACAAAUGAAAAUCUUAGUUAGUGCAAAUGAGCAAAUGAAGUCUUCCAUAUUGUUUCUAAACACCAAACACUACGGAGGUUGUUGACAUAAUCAUCUUGGAUGAUGAGUUUGAAGAACUUCUGCAGGAGGGCGCGACAUGGGUAAGAAAUGACCCGAUGCAGAGAAGAGGAUAGUACCAUGUAUACAUGAUAACGACACGAUAACUCAAAAUGCAGCAGUAUAGAACUGUGUUACAUGUGAUAUAGCCUCCUUUUUUGUAGAAAUAAAAUUUUGAAUUAAUGGUAAUUUUAUUCUUCUCAUGGUA